rnacentral:rRNA from 1 species
GAUGAACGCUGGCGGCGUGCUUAACACAUGCAAGUCGAACGAUGAAGCCCAGCUUGCUGGGUCGAUUAGUGGCGAACGGGUGAGUAACACGUGAGCAACCUGCCCCUGACUCUGGGAUAAGCGCUGGAAACGGCGUCUAAUACUGGAUAUGUCCCGUCACCGCAUGGUGUGCGGGUGGAAAGAUUUUUCGGUUGGGGAUGGGCUCGCGGCCUAUCAGCUUGUUGGUGAGGUAAUGGCUCACCAAGGCGUCGACGGGUAGCCGGCCUGAGAGGGUGACCGGCCACACUGGGACUGAGACACGGCCCAGACUCCUACGGGAGGCAGCAGUGGGGAAUAUUGCACAAUGGGCGGAAGCCUGAUGCAGCAACGCCGCGUGAGGGAUGACGGCCUUCGGGUUGUAAACCUCUUUUAGCAGGGAAGAAGCGAAAGUGACGGUACCUGCAGAAAAAGCACCGGCUAACUACGUG